UCGGGAAUUUUGCGCAAUGGGCGAAAGCCUGACGCAGCAACGCCGCGUGAGGGAUGAAGGCCUUCGGGUUGUAAACCUCUUUUCUCAGGGACGAUGAUGACGGUACCUGAGGAAGAAGCCACGGCUAACUACGUGCCAGCAGCCGCGGUAAUACGUAGGUGGCAAGCGUUGUCCGGAUUUACUGGGCGUAAAGAGCGCGCAGGCGGUCGUGCAAGUCGCGUGUGAAAGCCCCCGGCUCAACUGGGGAAGGUCACGCGAUACUGUUCGACUCGAAGGCAGGAGAGGGAAGUGGAAUUCCCGGUGUAGUGGUGAAAUGCGUAGAUAUCGAGAGGAACACCAGUGGCGAAGGCGACUUCCUGGCCUGUUCUUGACGCUGAGGCGCGAAAGCUAGGGUAGCAAACGGG
rnacentral:rRNA from 1 species